CUUGGGUGCUCGAGUGGCGAACGGGUGAGUAACACGUGGGUGAUCUGCCCUGCACUUUGGGAUAAGCCUGGGAAACUGGGUCUAAUACCGGAUAGGACCAUCGUUUAGUGUCGGUGGUGGAAAGUUUUUUCGGUGUGGGAUGAGCUCGCGGCCUAUCAGCUUGUUGGUGGGGUAAUGGCCUACCAAGGCGUCGACGGGUAACCGGCCUGAGAGGGUGUACGGCCACAUUGGGACUGAGAUACGGCCCAG
rnacentral:rRNA from 1 species